rnacentral:rRNA from 1 species
UACAGAGGGUGCAAGCGUUAAUCGGAAUUACUGGGCGUAAAGCGUGCGUAGGUGGUUAGCUAAGUCAGAUGUGAAAGCCCCGGGCUUAACCUGGGAAUUGCAUUUGAUACUGGCUAGCUAGAGUUUGGUAGAGGGAAGUGGAAUUCCAGGUGUAGCGGUGAAAUGCGUAGAUAUUGGGAGGAACACCAGUGGCGAAGGCGGCUCACUGGACCGGAACUGACGCUGAGGCGCGAAAGCGUGGGGAGCAAACAGG